AAGAAAGCUACAAGGACUCGACACUCAUCAUGCAAUUGUUACGUGAUAACCUGACACUAUGGACUUCAGAUAUGCAGGGAGACGAUUCCUAAAGGAAAAUGUUAAUUGCCCACAAACUUUAUUUGUGAGGAACAGAAUAAAGAGGCGCUGCAAGAUGUGGAGGACGAAAACCAAUGAGACAACAAAGCCAAUAUGAGACUCCACCCCACUCCCCCUCCCCUUCCCCAGACACCCUUACAAAGGGAGCCACCAAACCCAACCUUAUGAGUGGCGCUCAACAGCUUGAUGCCUCCAGUUUUCUCUCCCUUUGUUUGAUUUUUAAUAUUAUUCUGUUUUAUUAGCCCUUAAAUUGAAAUAAAAUAUACCACUCAUGAAACAAACUUCAAUUAUGAUUUUUUGAAUGGUCAAGAGCGUAAAGAUUUCUUGGGAGUAUUUUUUUAUUUUUAUUUUUUGUCCUGGUACAACAUUUUUCCUUUUUUUAUGUUCAUUUGCUUUAUUUCUCAACAUUUGUAUCAGUUGCUGGAUAUAUUUUGAGUUUUUCUUAAUGUAAUUACAGAAAUUAACUUUUAUUACUAUUACUGAUAUGUCUACUAUUAGUGGUUUGAGCUGUAAUAUUUCUGUGUUAGUGCAAUUAUAAAAUGCAGUUAAAGAAAACAAUUAAACCUUUAAAAGGGCAAGUCUAAACAAAGUGCUCUUUUUGUUAAUUUAGUUUUUCAGAGAAAGUUGAAGCAAGUUUCUUGAUAUCCAUGUGGCGCAAAAUGCUUAAUAUCACCAAGUAGUGGUUAUGUAGUAACAUUUACCAGUGGUCUGGACUGUAAUUUGUGCUAAAAUACUGUAUUGCUCACAUAGGCUGAAGAUGGUGGGUGGAUUGAUGGAUGGCUGCGGCUCUAUAAAACUGAAGGAGCCUUGUUGCUUUUAGAACCAAGACAAAUGCAGGUCUCCAUUUGGCGGUCUCAAAAAGAAA